GAUGAUAGCGGCACGACGAGAGCAUUUCGUGUGCCAUCGCUGAGGGCUGCGAUGCGUAAACUUCGUUGAAGAAAACAAGGGCCUGCACAAGAAGACGUUGGAUUCCCCUUGAUCGAGUGCCACGACUCAGCAUGGCCUCGCGAGUCGUCCUUCAUGAAGGCUGAAGCGGGCGGAGGCUCGGCACGGGCGCGGGUCUUGCAGUGGUAGGGUGGCGCGUCCAGUCGCCGGGCAUGCGCCCUCUAUCUCCCAGGCUGCACAACACACCGGCAAGUCCUUCAGGCGACUGACGCCCAGCAGGUGCUCGAAGUAUUGCUUGCAACUUUGUGCGUCUUCCCUUGUUGGCCUAAUCCUUGUCUCGGCUCACACAUGUUCCUGAUUUAUGGAAUUUGUCUUGGCCUCUCUGUUUUGGCGGCGAGAUUGGGGAUGGCGGCUCCUCGUGCGGCGGCUGGCAGUGGCGCACGGCGGAUCCCUGACGGCGACUGGUAGCGAUCGUCGGAUCUUCGGAUGGCGGCCGUUGUAACGCGCUCUCCCUCGAUCAAAAUAGCAGAUCAAUUCAACCGGGCGACAUGAUCCAAGCUGAAUCAUUUUGCCGUGUUUGUGGCUAGCUACAUCUCCCAAUUCCAUGCAUGCGUGUUUGGGAGGGUGUGCUCCAGCCGCUCCUCAUUGUUGUCUCCAGGGGCGGAGCCAGAAAAUUUGGCCGAUGGGUUCACUCGGUACCUCAUUGUAAGGAUUUAAUAUGGGUUAAUUAAGUGUAGCUUUCAAUUUCAUACUAACUUACAAUAGGGGCACGUCACUUAAAAGACAUGUGGCGAGUAGAAAUAUGAUAUCGAUUAUCACAUAUGGUGGUUACAUAUAGAAGUGGAGAGUGCAAGACAUACUGAUUGUGUGAAAUUAUAAAA